AUUGAACGCUGGCGGCAGGCCUAACACAUGCAAGUCGAGCGAGCGGCGGACGGGUGAGUAGUGUCUGGGAAACUGCCUGAUGGAGGGGGAUAACUACUGGAAACGGUAGCUAAUACCGCAUACCAUCAGAUAUCCCCAGAUGGGAUUAGCUAGUAGGUGGGGUAACGGCUCACCUAGGCGACGAUCCCUAGAUGGUCUGAGAGGAUGACGAGCGACACGGGAAAUGAGAAAAGGUCCAGACUCCUACGGGAGGCGCCCAGUGGGAAUAUUGAGCAGUGGCGGAAACUCAGACGCAGCCCUGCCGCGUGAAGGAAGAAGGCCUACGGGUUGUAAAGUUCUUUCGGUGACGAGUCGUUAAUCUCAGAAGAAGCACCGGCUAACUCCGUGCCAGCAGCCGCGGUAAUAC
rnacentral:rRNA from 1 species